UACGUAGGCAGCGAGCGUUGUUCGGAGUUACUGGGCGUAAAGAGUGCGUAGGCGGUUUUCUAAGUUUGGUGUGAAAUCUCCCGGCUUAACUGGGAGGGUGCGCCGAAGACUGGAAGGCUUGAGUAUGGGAGAGGUAAGCGGAAUUCCUGGUGUAGCGGUGAAAUGCGUAGAUAUCUGGAGGAAUACCGGUGGCGAAGGCGGCAUCCUGGACCGGCAUUGACGCUGAGGAGCGAAAGCCAGGGGAGCAAACGGG
rnacentral:rRNA from 1 species